GACGUAGGGCGCGAGCGUUGUCCGGAUUUAUUGGGCGUAAAGAGCUUGUAGGCGGCUUGUCGCGUCGUCCGUGAAAACCUGCGGCUCAACUGCAGGCUGGCGGUCGAUACGGGCAGGCUAGAGUACUGCAGGGGAGACUGGAAUUCCUGGUGUAGCGGUGAAAUGCGCAGAUAUCAGGAGGAACACCGGUGGCGAAGGCGGGUCUCUGGGCAGUAACUGACGCUGAGGAGCGAAAGCGUGGGGAGCGAACAGG
rnacentral:rRNA from 1 species